UCAGUCUCGGGGAAGAUGGCGGCGCUGCGCUUGGUGUCCUGCGCCCUUCGGAUCUCUCUCAGAGUGCCAGCCCCAGUGCCAGUGCUGGGGGGCAUCCAGCAGUUCUCUCACCUUGCCCAGCCCCUGGCUGCCAGCCGGAAUCUGACCCCCGCAAUCAGCACCCUGUGCCUGCAGCAGACCCGAAACGGCAGCUUCUUCAACAAGCUAACUGCUGAUCAGCUGUGGAAGGGGGUUCUGGCUGAGAGCGGUGCUGGAGGCCGAAAAGGCAGAGGAAAGAGAACCAAGAGGAAGAUGAAGAAGGAUCUCAACAGAGGACAAGUGCUAGGUGAAGGGCGUGGUGGCUUCCUGUGGCCGGGUCUGAAUGUCAAAUUGUCCAUGGAGGGCACAGUAAACUCAAUCUCACAACGGGAUGCUGCAGAGCAGCAGGAGCUACAAGCAGAACGUCUGCGCCAGCGCGAGGAGUGGGACCGCCAGAGGAAGAUGAAGGUGAAGCGGCAGCGUGGGUGGACGGGCCACUCCUGGGGGGGCAUCAGUAUUGGCCCUCCUGACCCCGGACCUAAUGGAGAAACUUACGAAGAUUUUGACUCACGGGUCAUUGAGAUGAAAAGUGUCUUCAACAUGACGGCAAAGGAAGGCAGGAAGAAGUCUGUCAGCUGCCUGGUUGCCGUUGGAAACGGCAAGGGUGCCGCAGGUUUCGCCUUGGGGAAAGCAACCGAUCGCCUGGUGGCCAUGAGAAAAGCGAAGAACAGGGCGGUCCACUACCUGCAGUACAUCGAGAGACACAACAACCACACGAUUUACCAUGACAUCACCUCCACCUUCAAGAGGACAACGCUGCGUAUGAAGAAGCAGAACAGAGGUGAACCGGGGGCAGGGGGUCCCGCUGUGCCGCAGCCGAAUGCACGCGAGACGUCGAGUUUCUCAAGGGAGACGGUCCAUUUUAUUGGAGGGACACACAAGACACGUAUGACGUGUGACACGGGACAGCUGUGACAGCGCGAUGGUCGGUGUCAUCGAUUCUUCUGCGGAUGCACUUUUCUGCCUCCUGCUUGUUUGAGUCGGCGCUCGGCUGCUUUAGACCCUUCCGUCGGACGUUAGACGGCGACAAACCGAUGAGUGUGCGUGGGCUUGAGCUGCAAUGAUGCCUCGGACCUUUCGGUCUUUGCACGGCUCCCUAAUUAGGCCUCGCUUCGUCAUGUUCAAACCGGUCCCGAUUAUGUCAGAGGGACGCCGCGUUUGGGGGAGCGUGAUUUAAACGCUGCCUCCGGCACUAGUUUUUUACUUUUUGUUUUUAUAUUUUUUUAAUGAACAUGAACUCGCUGCUUCUAAGAGCUUCUGCAUUAUAAAAAAAACCCAAAGAAUUUUCUACAGCCCGCGCAGUGAGCGAAGCAGAGCUCGGCGCCGUUGUUUCGGUGUGUGCAGGUGCUCGUGAUUUUUUUUCCCCUCCAGCAGCAUUGUGGGUAAUCAUCUGCGCGGGGUUCCAUGGGAUCGGUGCAGAGCGGUUGCAGGGUAUAAAAUAUAGGAGCGCGUUAAAAGGGAGCCCCAAGUAGCUGUUUCAGGAGAGCACGGGUCUCUAGAGCCCUGGGAGGCGCCCUGCCGCGAGCUCUGCUGGAGGAAGUCCUGACAGAUGACAGAGUGCCCCCUGGUGGCCAUUGGACUGACAGCAGGCACCGCAGGAGUUGACUGUCCCCAGGUAUGUUACGUGUCUCAUGCCAACGUUGGCAGUGUAUCACACGGAUAAAUGAACCGCGGGCUCCAUCCAUCACCCUGUCGCCAUGGCGAUCCCAAGCUGGAUUCUGUAAUGGGGGAUGCGCAGAAACCAAUUCCAACCGGGCCCAGGUGGGACACUGACACCAAGGGUUCAUCGCUCACAUAGACCGAGGGGGCCGUUGGGUGUCGGCUUUUGUCCCAGGGCCGGACCUGGAAGCACAGGACUAAGAGGACAUGUCCCCGCAGCAACUAAGAUCUUGCUCCUCCUCCCAUCCUGUCCCCCAUGUGAGUCACAAGCAGCCAGUGAGCUGUAGAAAGUUCCGGAAAUCUCAUUAGUAAGGCCGGUUGAGUGUCAUGGUAGAGAAAGCAGCGUAAUGGUUAUGUAAGGCAGUUACGAAACACCCCUCCCCACAGCAUGGUCAGUGCAGAAACCCCGUAGCUCCGUGCCUUGGAGAACGGACCCCACGGAGACACCGUACCCAGCUUUGCACAGGCUGCUCUGUGUGUCUGCGUGUGUGUGUGUGUGUGUGUGUGUGUGUGUGUGUGUGUGUGUGUGUGUGUGUGUGUGUGUGUCUGCAUACAGGAUUUGAUGCUAGUCUUAAGUGUGCCGACAUUUGUUUUCUGUUCCAUUCUCGAAGAUUUUAAUUUAAUUAAUUUUUUUUUUUUUUUUAAACGAGAUGAUCUUGAUAUCUGUGCCCGAAUCCCUAAAUUGAAACAGUAAUGCCUGCAGGCUGCGGAUUCUCACAUGCCAGCUGGUCGCUGUAUCUGCGUGAGCAGCCCAUCUGAGCCAAAGUAGGGACGAUGAGCGAUGCAAGAAAUGACGGUUAAGGUCAGGGAUUAGGAAGCCGAACGCAUCCUGCUGUUUGGAGGUGAAUUUAAGGUUACGGUUUGCGAUGCCACCGGGCCGUGAUCACCAUAUGCAAGCUCAUCGGCAUCGAAGAUAUGUAC